rnacentral:rRNA from 1 species
CAGUCGCCACGGGAACACGUAGGGGGCAAGCGUUAUCCGGAAUUACUGGGUGUAAAGGGAGCGUAGACGGUUAAACAAGUCUGAAGUGAAAUGCCGGGGCUCAACCCCGGAGCUGCUUUGGGAACUGUAGAACUGGAGUGUCGGAGGGGUAAGCGGAAUUCCCAGUGUAGCGGUGAAAUGCGUAGAUAUUGGGAGGAACACCGGCGGCGAAGGCGGCUUACUGGACGACAACUGACGUUGAGGCUCGAAGGCGUGGGUAGCAAACAGGAUUAGAUACCCCUGUAGUCCCUGUCUCUUAUAC